rnacentral:rRNA from 1 species
AUUGAACGCUGGCGGAAUGCUUUACACAUGCAAGUCGAACGGCAGCACGGACUUCGGUCUGGUUGCGAGUGGCGAACGGGUGAGUAAUGUAUCGGAACGUGCCCAGUCGUGGGGGAUAACGUAGUGAAAAUUACGCUAAUACCGCAUACGAUCUCUGGAUGAAAGCGGGGGAUCGCAAGCCCUCGCGCGAUUGGAGCGGCCGAUAUCAGAUUAGGUAGUUGGUGGGGUAAAGGCCCACCAAGCCAACGAUCUGUAGCUGGUCUAAGAGGACGACCAGCCACACUGGAACUGAGACACGGUCCAGACUCCUACGGGAGGCAGCAGUGGGGAAUUUUGGACAAUGGGCGAAAGCCUGAUCCAGCCAUUCCGCGUGCAGGAUGAAGGCCCUCGGGUUGUAAACUGCUUUUGUACAGAACGAAAAGGUUUCUACUAAUACUAGGGGCUCAUGACGGUACUGUAAGAAUAAGCACCGGCUAACUACGUGCCAGCCGCCGCGGUAA